rnacentral:rRNA from 1 species
GCCGGGAACUCUAACGAAACUGCCGGUGUAAACCGAAGAGGAAGGUGGGGAUGACGUCAAAUCAGCACGGCCCUUAUGUCCAGGGCUACACACGUGUUACAAUGGCCGGUACAGAGGGCAGCUACCUGGAGACAGGAUGCGAAUCUCGAAAGCCGGUCUCAGUUCGGAUCGGAGUCUGCAACUCGACUCCGUGAAGCUGGAUUCGCUAGUAAUCGCGCAUCAGCCAUGGCGCGGUGAAUACGUUCCCGGGCCUU